rnacentral:rRNA from 1 species
AGCGAACGCUGGCGGCAGGCUUAACACAUGCAAGUCGAGCGGGCAUCUUCGGAUGUCAGCGGCAGACGGGUGAGUAACACGUGGGAACGUACCCUUCGGUUCGGAACAACUCUGGGAAACUGGAGCUAAUACCGGAUACGCCCUUAUGGGGAAAGGUUUACUGCCGAAGGAUCGGCCCGCGUCUGAUUAGCUAGUUGGUGGGGUAACGGCCUACCAAGGCGACGAUCAGUAGCUGGUCUGAGAGGAUGAUCAGCCACACUGGGACUGAGACACGGCCCAGACUCCUACGGGAGGCAGCAGUGGGGAAUAUUGGACAAUGGGCGCAAGCCUGAUCCAGCCAUGCCGCGUGAGUGAUGAAGGCCUUAGGGUUGUAAAGCUCUUUUGUCCGGGACGAUAAAGACGGUACCGGAAGAAUAAGCCCCGGCUAACUUCGUG